rnacentral:rRNA from 1 species
AUUGAACGCUGGCGGCAUGCUUUACACAUGCAAGUCGAACGGCAGCGCGGGCUUCGGCCUGGCGGCGAGUGGCGAACGGGUGUGUAAUGCAUCGGAACGUGCCCAGUAGUGGGGGAGAGCCCGGCGAAAGCCGGGUUAAUACUGCAUACGACCUGAGGGUGCAAGCGGGGGAGCGAAAGGCCUCGCGCGAGUGGAGCGGCCGACGUGGGGUUUGCUAGUUGGUGGGGGAAAGGCUUACCAAGGCGGCGAUCCGUAGCUGGUCUGAGAGGACGACCGGCCACCUGGGGAGGGGGACAGGGACAAGGGGACUAAGGGAGGGAGCAGUCGGGAACGUGGGGCAGUGGGGGCAACCAUUGUCCAGCCGGGCGGAGUGCGGGAAAAAGGCCUCCGGGUUGUAAACCGGUUUUGUGCGGGAAGAACCGCUCUGGGCUAAUACCCCGGGGGGAUGACGGUACCGGAAGAAUAAGCACCGGCUAACUACGUG